CAAUCUGGAGAAGUCAUCCAUGCACUUUAUUAGCAUGCAGGUAAAUCACCAAAAUGCAUUUAUUGUGAACUAUUGUUUAUCACCUGCAGAGCGUUACCCAACGUGUCUGCCGGACUGGCCAUGGCUGCCAAGAUGGCCGUGGUGGUGGUGCCGAUGUUGGAACCAAGAGACAACGGAUAGGCUCUCUCAAUGCUGAUGACGCCAAUACCUACAGGGUUCUGGUCGGCGGACGGACAAAUGAGUGAUCUCACCAACAAGCGGAGUGAUAGCGGAGGUAAAAACAGAGCUGCUCUGCACGAUGAAUGUCAUUCCAGCUCCGACUAAAAUGGCAAUCAGGCAGGAGCACAACACCAGCAAAGAGAGAGCCAGGAGGAUCAGACCCACAGCCAGAUCGGACAAGUUCACGUUUACAAAAAGCACUCACAUCCAGAGGAGACCAUGCUGACCACAAUGGAGGACGAAGUGGACGAGCUCUGAACCAGCAAAGUGACCAGGACGCCAAUGACCAGACCGGCCAGAGGGUUGGACAGGACAACAUUGUCCUGCAUAAUGCCGCCUGCUGCUUUGCCUGGAUGGACAAGCUCGGGCAUAUCCCAAGGGUCUUCCUCAUCUGAUGGCCCAUCAUCCACCAGCGCCAGAGUAGACUGUGCGAGACUUCCUUUUUGCACUAUUUGCACAUUUACAGAACACUGUUAUAUUAUCAUUUGUUUGGACAAGGAGUCUUCUGUUCAAAAACUUACUUUUGCUGCCAUUUCUUUCAAUAUGCUCCUCGGUAAACUGAAAUUAUAAAGUAAAAAAAACUAAACGUUGAUAUUCAUUUGUAAUGCAUGUAAUCCCAAUAAGGGUUAUAAUGGUUUGGGAUCUUUCAGUUUAAUUUAAUUUUUUCAUUAUUUAACUUCAAUUCAUUUUCAUUUGGAUGUAUUUUUUUAGAAUGUUUUUCAGUUUUACUAAUGCAUUUUUUUGUUUUAUUAGUUUUAGUAUAUUUAAAGAGAAGUGGGAUAUUUGUCAAGCAUAAUAUUAAAAUAUAAUUGUGUAAUAAUUUAAGGUAAACUACAAUUCUCAAAUGACAGUUUGACCUUCUGCAUCAUGAAUGCAUGUGUGAAUGAAUGUAUGAUAUUAUUUGACAAAGAUGGAAACGAUGGUUGCUUAGUUUUAACUUUAGUUAUGUCAUUAUUUUUAUAUUCCAAUAUUUUUAACAUUAUCAUUUAAAUUCUCAAUUAAUAGCCAAUAUUUUACUUUUCAAUAGUUCCAAAAGCCACACCAAUUGAAUGACUAUUGUACACAUUUAGCCACUCACAUGCCACAAAGUAUUGAUCGUAGACUCACAUGGUGUUAUUCGGCCACAGUAAAAUUCCAUUAGUACAACACGAGGACACGGAAAUACAGCUUAAUUGAUUUUCUUUUUCUAUGUUUCACUUACACACACACAUGCGCACGCACACACACAUUCACACAGUCAACCUUUUUCAUUUCACAUUUAAAUCUUUUAUAUUUUAAAAUGAGAGUUACACUCACAACAAGUCUUUCUCAGUUUGCUCUUAAAAUAUGUGCUGUUAUUCAUUUACUAACUAAUGGCAUGAUCUAAUGCAUAAGACACUCAAGAUUCAGAUGUUUAUGUAAAAAAAUAGUUUUUGGGUGUUUGCACAUAUUGCCAUGAGAAAAAAAAAAGGCUUUUAGCUCUAUUUCUUUGUGUCUUGAUACUUUAUCUAAGCGUGAUUUUUGAACCCAAAACAAUGGCAAAAUUAUUUUUGCAUUACUUUGUGUCAACUAAUUAUACAUAAGAGCUAAAAGAUACCUGCAAUGAAAAAAUAUUUUCAAGUUUGAGUUUGUACUUUAUGCUUACAAUGAAAAUAUAAAUGACUUUCACACAAAA